rnacentral:rRNA from 1 species
UACAGAGGUGGCGAGCGUUACUCGGAUUUAUUGGGUGUAAAGGGCAAGUAGGCGUCUUAACAAGUUAGGAGUGAAAUCCUGCAGCUCAACUGCAGAACUGCUCUUAAAACUGUUGAGAUUGAGUUUGGGAGAGGAAAGCGGAAUUCUCGGUGUAAGAGUGAAAUCUGUAGAUAUCGAGAGGAACACCAGUGGCGAAGGCGGCUUUCUGGCCCAGUACUGACGCUGAAUUGCGAAAGCUAGGGGAG